rnacentral:rRNA from 1 species
GAUGAACGCUGGCGGCGUGCCUAAUACAUGCAAGUCGAGCGAACAGACGAGGAGCUUGCUCCUCUGACGUUAGCGGCGGAGGGGUGAGUAACACGUGGAUAACCUACCUAUCAGACUGGGAUAACUUCGGGAAACCGGCGCUAAUACCGGAUAAUAUAUUGAACCGCAUGGUUGGAUAGUGAAAGACGGUUUUGCUGGCACUUAUAGAUGGAUCCGCGCCGCAUUAGCUAGUUGGGGAGGUAACGGGUUACGAAGGCGACGAGGCGUAGCCGAGCGGAGAGGGUGGUCAGCCAGACUGGAACGGAGACACGCCACAGACUCACAGAGAAACCACCAGUACUGAUUCGUCCGCAAGGGGCGAAAGCCUUACGGAGCAACGCGGCGUGAUGGAUGAACAUCGUCGGAUGGGAAAACUCUGUUAUCAGGUAAGAACAAAUUUCGACGUAACCAUGCAGGUCUUGACGGUACCGAAUCAGAAAGCCACGGCUAACUACGUG